UCCAGGGGAAGUUGGGGAGUAAAC
rnacentral:piRNA from 1 species